GUGAUGUUCUGAGAUAAAGACGAGGAGGACAGGAAGAAAGACAAGAGACCAGGUGAGGACAGGUACUCUGCUCUCCUUGACGCCAUUUGAUAGAAAAGUUUGUGGGACCACAGAGAGCCUAGGGAGGUCGACCUGUCAGUGAAGCCCCUCCCACCUCCCAACUGUACGGUGUGUGUGUGUGUGUGUGUGUGUGUGUGUGUAUAAGAGAGCUUAUUUAAAAGGCUGCCUCACUCUUGCUGGGUGAUC